rnacentral:lncRNA from 1 species
GCAGAAGUGGCUGAGACACACACAGAAGCCAGGCGUUCUGGCAUGCCCCAGGGCAGCGGAGGAACUGAGGUUCACAGUCAAAAACAGCUGUCAAAGGUGCUUACAGCAAACUCUUUAAAAGGCAGGGAAGUGAAUAAUUUAUUUUCGGCUAUUAUAUCUUUCCAUGUGGUAUUGACUGGAUCCGAUUAUCUUUUCCGUGAAAUAUGUUUUUACAGAGAUUUCCCAAUAGAUAGGGUUAAAAAGAUGAGAAAAGUUGAUUGUAAGGCCCCAGGGAGAUUUACUUUCCAAAUGGCCCAUUUCCAUGGAGUAUUAGCCAAGAUAUCUCACUCAGCUAGAGAGAGGGGGAGUGCACUUGGAGACUUCUUAACCUUCCCUUUAGCCCUGUAGCAUUGAGGGCACUAAAGAUAUUAAAUAUUUUAAAAAUAUUUUCUAUAAAGUUUGAUUGCAAUUUAGGGCAUGUGUGUAUGUGUGUGUGUGUGUGUGUGUACAUUUGUGUGUAUGCAUGCACAUAUGUGUGGGCAUAUGUGGAUGUCAGGAGACAGCUGUGGAAGUCUAUUCUCUCCUUUUACUGCAUGGGUCCUGGGCAUUGAACUCAGGCUGUCAGGCUUGGUAGCAAGUGCUUUUACCCAGUGAGCCAUCUUGCCAAUGGAAUAUGAUUGUAUUUCUGUUAGUCAAACCCUUACCUAUGGGGAUGCCCACAGUUGCCUAGUUAACUAUGCACUCAAAUAGUCAUCCACACUUACUGAGUACUGUCUCUUUAACAAUGAGACAGAAGAAUGAAUAAGAUACAGCUACUUAACAUGUACAAAGAGAACAUUGCUCUUCCAGAGGACCUAGGUUUGAUUCCCAGUACCUGUGUUGGAUAGUUCAGAACCACCUGUAACUCCAGCUACAGGGGAGGCUCUGGCUUGCUCAGGCACCUAUAAUCAUGUGUACAUACUCCCACUAUACAUAAGUAAUAAGGAAAUUAAAGUUUGUUAGGUUUCAUGCUCAUAUUUCAGUGUAGCACAGUCUAUCUUUGAUCAUGUUUUAUAAGAUUUGAUUUUCUGAGAGUAACUCUAUCUAUGCUAUUAUCAGCUUACUGUGGAAGUGAAAGUGCAGGAAGAUAGUAGAAAGGAGAAAUGAACUGAGCCCUCCAAUGCUCAUUAUUUUGCCUGCUUAUUGCCAGAAAACUAUCCCUGAAGUUUCACUUACAAGUGCACCAGCCCAGGCUAUGCACAACCAUGAGUUCACUGGUGGAUCCUAGGGUUUGGGGAUGGAAAGGGCUCCCAGGCACUCCUUCACUGCCUUUUGGUUAGAAGAUUUGUCUUAAUUUUGUUAAUCACUG